rnacentral:rRNA from 1 species
CAGUCGUACUGGCGGGCAAUCAGCCUUUCGGGUGCGAUUCUGUGGAGUGUGAUGAGCUUAACACCUUCAUGCUUUGCAUAUUUGUGCACUUUGGGUGUACUUGCUCGUGUGGUAGGUUAACAUCAAUUUUGAUCGUCAUAAAAUGAUCGGGGGAAUGUAGCUUCGAUCUUGUAUUGAAGUGUUAUAGCCUUCGGUAGAUGUGAUGAUUGGGAUUGAGGAUUGCAACGGAUACCCUUCGGGGCUACCUGUCUGAUCUCUGAAAGUUGCUCUGGUGCCGAAAGCUCGCUUACGGUAUUAAAGUUGACGUUCAACAGGUUAGAACGGGAUAAA